rnacentral:misc_RNA from 1 species
GUUGGUGAACCAGCGGAGGGAUCAUUACCGAGUUAUCAACUCCCAAACCCCUGUGAACAUACCUUAACGUUGCUUCGGCGGGACCGCCCCGGCGCCCUCACCGGCCCGGAACCAGGCGCCCGCCGGAGGACCCAAACUCUUGUUUAAUUUAGUGGCAUAUUCUGAGUCUCACAAACAAAAAUGAAUCAAAACUUUCAACAACGGAUCUCUUGGCUCUG